AAGUCGUAACAAGGUUUCCGUAGGUGAACCUGCGGAAGGAUCAUUAACAAAUUUGCUGUAAACCCACGGUGUACUUGGCCAAGUGGAUGUGCAGGUCGUGCUGAUUGGGUUUAAUUCAUCAACUUGGUUAAUUUCAGGUGAGAUUGGGUUACUCAGUGAACACCUACUUGUAAGGAAACAAGGCGGGUAUGCUUGCAAAAACCUGUGUCUCUAGAGAUUAAUUUCUUCAGAGUCGCAUAACAAACAAGUAACCUGGGGUACUUUAAGGUGGAGUGCUUUACUGUGCUUUGUCUUAGAGCCCUUCUAAUAAUCCCUAUUUUACCAUUUUACCCCUUGAUAAACUAUAAGACUGAUAUGACAUGAUAAAUGUCAAACACUUAAAACUAUAAAACAACUCUUAACAAUGGAUAUCUAGGCUCUG
rnacentral:misc_RNA from 1 species